CCGCUGGAUGAUGAAGAGCUCAUUGAGUACAUCCUCACCGGGCUAGAUGAAGAUUUUACUCCUCUAGUUUCUGCUAUUGUUGCCAGGGUAGGACCCAUCUUAGUUGGGGAGCUAUAUUCUCAUCUUCUGAACUUUGAGA
rnacentral:snoRNA from 1 species